GACGAACUCUGGCGGCGUUCUUAACACAUGCAAGUCGAACGAAGUGGCGAACGGGUGAGUAAUACGUGGGUAACCUGCCCUCCUUUUUGGGAUAAGCCUUGGAAACGGGGUCUAAUCCCGAAUAAAGGGGUAUUGGCUCGCUGCCUAUCGGCUUGUUGGUGGGGUGACGGCCUACAAAGGCGGUGACGGGUAGCCGGCCUGAGAGGGUGACCGGCCACAUUGGGACUGAGACACGGCCCAGACUCCUACGGGAGGCAGCAGUAGGGGAUAUGGCACAAUGGGCGCAAGCCUGAUGCAGCCAGGCCGCGUGAAUGAAGAAGGCCUUCGGGUUGUAAAGUACUGUCAGCGAGGAGGCGUUACUCGCAGAAGAAGCACCGGCUAACUCCGUGCCAGCAGCCGCGGUAAUAC
rnacentral:rRNA from 1 species